rnacentral:rRNA from 1 species
AGUUUUUAGAAAUCAUUAAAAACAUAACCUGCUCAAUGAAUAUUUAAAUAGCCGCAGAAUUUCUUCUGUGCUAAGGUAGCAUAAUCAAUAGUCUUUUAAUUAAAGAAUAGAAUGAAUGGUCAAACGAAUUUCAAACUUAUUUAUUUAUAAAUUACUAAAUUAUUAAAUAAGUAAAAAACCUUAUACAAAAAAGAAAGACGACAAGACCCUAUCAAACUUUACUUAAGUUAUACUGGGGAAGUAAAUUAACAAAAUCUUAAUAUUUUAUCAAAAAAAUAACCUUAUUGAUUUAUAAAUAAGUUACUGUAGGGAUAACAGCAUAAUAAAUUUUUAAAGCUCGUAUUUACAAAUUAGUUUAUGACCUCGAUGUUGAAUUAAUUUCCUAUCUAAAGAAAAACCCUUUUAAGGAAGACUGUUCGUCUAUUAAAAAAUUACAUGAUUUGAGUUCAGACCGGUGUAAGCCAGGUCGGCUUCUAUCUUCUACAAAAAAAUUUUAGUACGAAAGGACCAAAUUUAAUUUACCUUCAAAAAUUGGCAGAUUAUUGCAUUAGAAUUAGAAUCUAAUUAUAACACUCAUUAAUUUUAUUAACUCUUUAAUUAUCCUAAUUUCAGUUUUAUUAAGAGUUGCUUUUUAUACCAUAUUAGAACGAAAAAUUCUUAGAUAUAUUCAAAAUCGGAAAGGUCCUAAUAAAGUAGGAUUAAUAGGCCUUCUUCAGCCUUUUAGAGAUGCUUUAAAAUUAUUUAAUAAAUCUUAUGCCUUUCCUAUUUCCACUAAUUUAAAAUUAGCUUUAAAUUUUCCUGCAUUUAGAUUUUUCCUAGCUAUUAUCUUAUGACCUUUAUUACCUAUAGCAAAUUUCAAUAUUUGUGACUGUUCCCUUAAUAUGCUUAUUUUACUAAUUAUCUCUAGUAUAAGAAUUUAUUCAUUAUUAAUAAUUGGUUGAGCAGCAA